rnacentral:rRNA from 1 species
CUGCAGCCCGAGUGGUGAUCGAUUUUAUUGAGCCUAAAGCGUCCGUAGCCGGACUAGUAAACCCUUGGGUAGAUUGGGCAGCUUAACUGUCCAAAUUCCGAGGGGACUGCUAGUCUUGGGACCGGGAGAGGUCAGAGGUACUCAAGGGGUAGGGGCUAAAUCCUGUAAUCCUUUGGGGACCACCAGUGGCGAAGGCGUCUGACUAGAACGGAUCCGACGGUAAGGGACGAAACCCUGGGGCGCGAACCGGAUUAGAUACCCGAGUAGUCC